GUCCCCGUAGCCCAACGGCAGAGGCAAACCCCUUAAAAGGGUUCGAGUGAGGGUUCGAGUCCCUCCGGGGGCAC
rnacentral:tRNA from 1 species